GAGGGUAUAGCUCAGUAACAGAGUGCUUGCCUAGCAUGCAACAAGGUCCUGGGUUCGAUCCCCAGUAACUCCA
rnacentral:tRNA from 1 species